UGCCUGAUGGAGGGGGAUAACUACUGGAAACGGUAGCUAAUACCGCAUAACGUCGCAAGACCAAAGAGGGGGACCUUCGGGCCUCUUGCCCUCAGAUGUGCCCAGAUGGGAUUAGCUAGUAGGUGGGGUAACGGCUCACCUAGGCGACGAUCCCUAGCUGGUCUGAGAGGAUGACCAGCCACACUGGAACUGAGACACGGUCCAGACUCCUACGGGAGGCAGCAGUGGGGAAUAUUGCACAAUGGGCGCAAGCCUGAUGCAGCCAUGCCGCGUGUAUGAAGAACGCCUUCGGGUUGUAAAGUACUUUCAGCGGGGAGGAAGGUGUUGUGGUUAAUAACCACAGCAUUUGACGUUACCCGCAGAAGAAGCACCGGCUAACUCCGUGCCAGCAGCCGCGGUAAUACAGAGGGUGCAAGCGUUACUCGGAUUUACUGGGCGUAAAGCGCACACAGGCGGUCUGUCAAGUCAGAUGUGAAAUCCCCGGGCUCAACCUGGGAACUGCAUUCGAAACUGGCAGGCUAGAGUCUUGUAGAGGGGGGUAGAAUUCCAGGUGUAGCUGUGAUAUGCGUAGAGAUCUGGAAGAAUACCGGUGGCGAACGCGGCCCCCUGGACAAACACUGACGCUCAUGUGCGAAAGCGUGGAGAGCAUACAGGAUUAGAUACCCUGGUAGUCCACGCCGUACACGAUGUCCACUUGGAGGUUGUGCUCUUGACGCGUGUCUUCCGGAUCUAACGCGUUAAGUCGACCGCCUGGAGAGUACGGCCGCAAGGUUAAAACUCAUAUGAAUUGACGGGANUCCCACACAAUCGGUGGAGCAUGUGGUUUAAUUCGAUGCAACGCGAAGAAUCUUACCUACUCUUGACAUCCAUAGAACUUUCCAGAGAUGGAUUGGUGCCUUCGGGAACUCUGAAAACAGGUGCUGCAUGGUUGUCAUCAGCUCGUGUUGUGAAAUGUUGGGUUAAUUCCCG
rnacentral:rRNA from 1 species